UCUGUUUUUACUGGUUUGUGCAGACCCCACUCCGUGUUGCUUCGUCAGCUUCGUGGGGUCUCCCUGCUGCCUGCUUUGUAAAAGGAAAUGGUUUCUGCCUCCAAUUCUCCUCAGCCGGAGUUCACAUUCUGUCUUAUUUUACAGGACAAGGUUCUUUAACUUUGUCAGGCACCUUUCCAAGCUCUCUUAUUUAUCAAGGUGAUGGCAUCUGUAGGCCGCGACUUCUAGGCUUUGCCCACAGUUGAAGUCGGCACAGCUGUGGUAACACUGUGAUGACAUAGGCAUAGCCACAUGGGUCCAUUGAAGGAAAUGUGCUUCCAGGACAUUAGACCCGGACCACGAAAGAAGGAAGACGGGAGCUCUGGGGUCCAAGAGAGUCUCCUUCUGGCUGUCCUAGGACAAAAUCACAGCAUUUUCGGUUCCAAGUUUAUCUUCCAUUGUAGAGAGUCUUGCAGCGCUAACCGUUCCACCAAAUGGAAUGAGUAUUCCGAUGGCCUGAGAAGAAGAGUUGGCUUUAUAAACAGAGAGAGGCCGAAGAAGGCAGAAACAAAGGCUGGAAAGCAGACUGGCCCUCUCCAAGCUACUUUCCUCGUAAGGCGGGCACAGGGCUCCAGAACAAUAGUAUUUUCAGAUCGUGGUUGACCGUGGUGACUGAAACGUCCAAAAGUGAAUCCCAGAAAAGACUGCUUCGCCCUUCUUCCCACUUUCGAGGCAGCGCAAGUCUGGGACGUGCUCUGUCUGCUGAAGGGGUUUCUGUGCCUGGGGUUUUCUGCAGAUGCUGGGCGGAACAGGAUCACAAGGGUCCUCUGGAAGUCUGGG
rnacentral:lncRNA from 1 species